GAGCGGACCAUUCCCGCUCAAGGGUGGGGAGAGCGAGAUCUCGCAGCCUGGCUGUCGCGACAUGGCGCGCUAUAUCGCGACGCCCCCCCUAGGCGUGGCAGUGGCGUUCGGGCUGAUCUUUACCCUGGCAGGGCGCCUGGCGCUGAGGCGGGGUUGGUGCGCAGGCCGUGGUUGCCAGUGAUGGAUCUCAGCGUUUCCAGGGAGGAGCUCCUUUUGUUCCAGGCCCUCCCUGGUGCCCGCAGGGGCCACCAACCACGCCAGUCCCCGGGGACAUUGGCACGGCUCCCAUGACACCAGGAAAAGGCACUUCUAAGGUAAAGAGGCACUUAAAAGGCUCGUGUUUAGGGUGGAACAAACCAGGUUUAAUCUCUGGAAAGGUGAAGGAAAACCCAAAAGGAUCCUGGGGGGCUGUCCCCGGGCAGGAUGACGGAGACACGGGGGUGGGGGAGUCACAGCACCCACCAGGGACCGAAGUGUGAAGUAAAAACGCAGCAUUUUCAGUGAUCACAGAGCAGAAAUGCAACUUUCCACCCCGAAAAACGUGUCUUUCCGCCCCAAAUAUCCACGUGAGUGCGGCCUCGGAGA